rnacentral:rRNA from 1 species
CAUGGAUUAGGCAUGCAAGUCGAACGAAGUAGCAAUACUUAGUGGCGCAAGGGUGAGGAACGCGUGAGUGACCUACCCGCAAGUUUGGAACAGCUCCUGGAAACGGGAAUUAAUACCGGAUGUGAUCAAUGAGCUGCAUGGUUUAUUGAUUAAAGCAGUAAUGCGCUUGCGGAUGGGCUCGCGUCCCAUUAGCUAGUUGGUGAGGUAACGGCCCACCAAGGCCAUGAUGGGUAGCUGGUCUGAGAGGACGACCAGCCACACUGGGACUGAGAACUGCCCAGACUCCUACGGGAGGCUGCAGUCGAGAAUUUUGGGCAAUGGACGAAAGUCUUGACCCAGCAAUGCCGCGUGCGGGAUGAAGGUCUUCGGAUUGUAAACCGCUGUUUGGAGGGACGAAAAUUGACGGUACUUCCAGAGAAAGCCACGGCUAACUACGUGCCAGCCGCGGC